rnacentral:rRNA from 1 species
AUGGAGAAGAACAAAUCCUGGUGUUUCAACCUACCCACAGCCGAUCAAUUGAGCGAGUGGAUGUUAACAGAGAAAUACAUGAUUGAUGAUAUUUCUUCUUCACAAGGUUUUAUAAGCGCAGUAGAACACAAGACGAGAGAGGUUGCGCGGCUGUGUUCCCACUACAUACUAGCACGGUGGGAUGGAUGGCCUAUGGAUGAGCACCACGUCACGCCACUCAUUUCAGAACAUCUUCAUCUGCCAUAUCAACCAUAUCUGUAUGCUCCAUAUGAUAAUGAAUCCCGGUUGGUGCUAGAUUUAAUGAAUGAGCCAACCACAGCUUAUGCACGUGUGGUUCUGUCCAGUGGAGUGACCAUGGCAGUAGAUGGGACUGAAGUUCUAUGUUACCCUGUAAAAAAUGUAGGUGUGCCAAUGGAAGCAAUACCUAAGGAAGUAAUAACCCCUAAAGAAGCUAGAGCAAGAAACUAA